rfam:Perkinsus marinus ATCC 50983 gcontig_1104296741282, whole genome shotgun sequence.
GGUUCUAUCGUGUAGCGGUUAGCACUCUGAACUUCGAAUCUGGUGAUCCGGGUUCGAAACCCGGUAAAACCU